rnacentral:rRNA from 1 species
UACGGAGGGUGCAAGCGUUAAUCGGAAUUACUGGGCGUAAAGCGUGCGCAGGCGGUUUGUUAAGUCCGUUGUGAAAGCCCCGAGCUCAACCUGGGAAUUGCAGUGGAUACUGGCAGGCUGGAGUACGGUAGAGGAAGGUGGAAUUCCCGGUGUAGCAGUGAAAUGCGUAGAUAUCGGGAGGAACACCAGUGGCGAAGGCGGCCUUCUGGACCAAUACUGACGCUCAUGCACGAAAGCGUGGGGAGCAAACAGG